rnacentral:rRNA from 1 species
AGAGUUUGAUCCUGGCUCAGGAUGAACGCUGGCGGCGUGCUUAACAAUGCAAGUCGAACGAACCUUCGGGUUAGUGGCGGACGGGUGAGUAACGCGUGAGAAUCUGCCCUCAGGAGGGGGAUAACGGUUGGAAACGACCGCUAAUACCCCAUAUGCCGCGAGGUGAAAUGAAUUUCGCCUGAGGAUGAGCUCGCGUCUGAUUAGUUAGUUGGUGGGGUAAAGGCCUACCAAGACAUCGAUCAGUAGCUGGUCUGAGAGGAUGAUCAGCCACACUGGGACUGAGACACGGCCCAGACUCCUACGGGAGGCAGCAGUGGGGAAUUUUCCGCAAUGGGCGAAAGCCUGACGGAGCAACGCCGCGUGAGGGAUGAAGGCCUCUGGGCUGUAAACCUCUUUUAUCAAGGAAGAAGAUCUGACGGUACUUGAUGAAUAAGCCACGGCUAAUUCCGUGCCAGCAGCCGCGGUAAUACGGGAGUGGCAAGCGUUAUCCGGAAUUAUUGGGCGUAAAGCGUCCGCAGGCGGUCUGUCAAGUCUGCUGUUAAAGCGUGGAGCUUAACUCCAUUUCGGCAGUGGAAACUGACAGACUAGAGUGUGGUAGGGGCAGAGGGAAUUCCCGGUGUGGCGGUGAAAUGCGUAGAUAUCGGGAAGAACACCAGUGGCGAAGGCGCUCUGCUGGGCCAUAACUGACGCUCAUGGACGAAAGCCAGGGAGCGAAAGGGAUUAGAUACCCCUGUAGUCCUGGCCGUAAACGAUGAACACUAGGUGUCGGGGGAAUCGACCCCCUCGGUGUCGUAGCCAACGCGUUAAAGUGUUCCGCCUGGGGAGUACGCACGCAAGUGUGAAACUCAAAGGAAUUGACGGGGGCCCGCACAAGCGGUGGAGUAUGUGGUUUAAUUCGAUGCAACGCGAAGAACCCUUACCAGGGUUUGACAUCCUGCGAAUCUCUUGGAAACGAGAGAGUGCCUUCGGGAACGCAGUGACAGGUGGUGCAUGGCUGUCGUCAGCUCGUGUCGUGAGAUGUUGGGUUAAAAAACCGCAAACGAGCGCAACCCACGUCGUUAGUUGCCAGCAUUUAGUUGGGCACUCUAGCGAGACCGCCGGUGAUAAACCGGAGGAAGGUGUGGAUGACGUCAAGUCAUCAUGCCCCUUACAUCCUGGGCUACACACGUACUACAAUGCUACGGACAAAGGGCAGCAAACUCGCGAGAGCUAGCAAAUCCCAUAAACCGUGGCUCAGUUCAGAUCGUAGGCUGCAACUCGCCUACGUGAAGGAGGAAUCGCUAGUAAUCGCAGGUCAGCAUACUGCGGUGAAUACGUUCCCGGGCCUUGUACACACCGCCCGUCACACCAUAGAGUUGGCCACGCCCGAAGCCGUUACUCCAACCCUUGRRAAGGGACGUCGAAGGUGGGGCUGAUGACUGGGGUGAAGUCGUAACAAGGUAACC